GAUGAACGCUGGCGGCGUGCCUAAUACAUGCAAGUCGAGCGAACAGACGAGGAGCUUGCUCCUCUGACGUUAGCGGCGGACGGGUGAGUAACACGUGGAUAACCUGCCUAUAAGACUGGGAUAACUUCGGGAAACCGGAGCUAAUACCGGAUAAUAUAUUGAACCGCAUGGUUCAAUAGUGAAAGACGGUUUUGCUGUCACUUAUAGAUGGAUCCGCGCCGCAUUAGCUAGUUGGUAAGGUAACGGCUUACCAAGGCGACGAUGCGUAGCCGACCUGAGAGGGUGAGCGGCCACACAGGAAAGGAGACGCGCUCAAGCCUCCGAGGGGGGGCAGCAGGGGGGAUUCUCCCGCAGGGGGGAAAAGCGUGAGGGAGCACCGCGGGGGGGGGAAAGAGGUUCUUCGGAUGAAAAACCUUUUUUAUUGGGAAAAAAAAAUUGUUAAAGAAACUUGGCACGUUUGGGGGUUACAAAACAAAAAACCCCCGCUAAACUCC
rnacentral:rRNA from 1 species